rnacentral:lncRNA from 1 species
CAGUUUUCGCAAGGAUGACAUUCGUUUGGUUAGGAAUCCACCGAGGAUAGGGAUAGCCAGAUACCUGAGAAUAUUCUUUCAAAACCUAGUUGACAAGAGCCGCCAAAUUCUCGCGGAUGAGGGCAUGGUUGACAAGAGCCGACAAAUUCUUGGUUGACAAGAGCCACCAAAUUCUCGCUGAUGAGGGCAGCCAUCGUCGAGCGACGCCCUCUAUUUCCUGCUUCGGUCACCUCCAUCACGGCUGAGCAAGGACAAUGGCUUAGUCAAGGUACAGGUCCUCAUGGAUUCCUCUCUCUCUCUCUCUCUCUCUCUCUCUUCCACUUUUUAUGUGGGAUUCAUAUAUACAACGCGGAGAGAGUAUCAUGGGACGGAGGGAUUAUUUUUCAAGUUUAUUCUACAAUAUUCAUCCAGCCCUUGUCCUGUCAACCAAACAUACUAAUGGCUACCCCUAACCACCUUGCAUUCUCUAACCAAACAACACAAGAUGGCUAUCCCUAACCAGCUGGUUGAGGAUGCCCUUAGCCAAUUCAUCCUGCCGGCGAACCAAACGAUACAUUACAUCCUGAAUCACAUGGCUACAAAUCAUUUCAAUCAACUGUAACAACCAACAGGUCGUCCCAGGAGUAUCAUGCCAAAAAAGAAUCAGGGUACUGAAGAUAAUUAUACAUUGCACAAACUAGAUGGUUGUAUCUUACAGCGAGACAUGGUGGUAAAGUUACACUGUCGGCUGUUCCUUCCACCCUUACAUAAAACAAUUAGACAGGCACAUAGCUUCAAGAGUACAAUACAAGGUUAGCAGCCUAGAAUGAUGGUGACAUCAGACGGCGCCUAUCUCCUCUUUGCUAUUCCCAAGCUGUUGUCAGAAACUACCUCGUACUACACCAGAACCUAGGUCACCUAUCCAUAAUUACAUACAGGACAUGUAAGUACAGAUAGAUACAGGAGAGAUACAUAGAUUAGAACGGCGGUUAAAUCUAUGUCAGACUCCACCAAAAAGAGACGAGGCGAGGCUUUGACUUAGUCAGAAUCGCUGUCAUGCUCCAGGAAGCGGUAUUCUCUUGGCCCGCCUAGUCGUAGUACUAUAGUUCCGGAGUUUCCUUCGUGCCACUCGAUGCCUUCCUUCUCCACAAGCUCGAUAACCUAUUAGGGGCAUUUAUUUAUAUAUAAUUGCAUUCAAAAGCAUGGCAUGUGAAAUCAGGUGAUCAACAUAUUCUGCUUAACUGGAUAAAGGGUUAAUAAACUAUCAGCAAUUUUUAGGGAAAAAAAAUAUCAGCAUUACAAACCCCAUCUAGAGCUGCACAACAAUAUUCUACUAGUAUAACGGAUCAUAUUUCCACAAGACUACAAAUGUGGAUAGAGUAUGAAGGAUGCAACAUCCAACCAAAUGCACUUGAUCUUGAUGAGAGUUCAUUUAGAGUAUGAAGACAAGAAUGACUAAGCAAACAAGUACAUUCUUACCGAUCGUUUUAUCUUUCCUUUCCCUGUACCUUCAACACCACAACCAGUAAUUACUCUAAGGAGGGUAGCUGUUCAAGGAACAAAAAGGAAGACAUGACAAUAAAGCAUUAGUCCAAGACCAAUGAAGCUAAAUAAUUACAGCAUCAAAUUGUUUGUGAACACUCACAUGGCAUGCAUACACAAACCAGCAUAUGAACUUUGAGGAGCUUCAUGGCUUGCUUGACAUGUUGACCGUGCAAGUCAAUAGUCACCGUGUUCGUUAUAUGCUUGUUUCUGCCAACCAAAGAUACCAGAGUCUGAGAUAAAAAAAUAUCUCCCUGACUACCAGAAGCUAUACUGCAGGUACCUGGCUUCAAAUAUCUCCCUGCUGGCCUUCUCAUCUUCCUUGCGACCCAAUUCCCGAUAAUGUUUUCCCUAAAGCAAAUAUAUAUUCAGCUAUUUGAGAUGCUAAGGUAACACAACGUAGAUAUAAGCAUUCCAGAAAAUGUUCUGAAAAAUGAAUACAUCUUAGCAUCAUAUAAGAGGGCUAAUAUCAGUUACUAAUUUUAUGUAUUCUAAGAUAAGAAACAACAUCAGCACAUCAUUUGGAGCUCUCCAUCAUUCAACCAUUGAGGGUGAAAGAUCAAGAGAUCCUGCUCUUUUUUUCGUCAUACUUUUGUCAGCCUUAACAUCUUAAAAUUGGAAGUCUGACCUCCUCUGCAAGGUACGAGGCAUAAGAUUUAUCUCCUUUGGAAUAUGCCACAGCAGCCUGCAGGAAUAAAUAGAGAUAAAAAUAUGAAAUAGAAAGAACAACUGGCUCAAAGAAAACAGCGACAAAAAUAGCGUCUUACUUUCUGAUAGUACCCUUUCAUUGUAUCAUAAUGCCUAGCAGAAACACCACGGAACUCUCGAUACCCAUCCCCUUAACACGGAGAAAUUACGGUUAUGUCAUUUGCAGCAAGUACCAAAUACAACAAUCACAAAGCACGAUAAGUGAAACAAAGACAGUUAUAUGUGUAAGUGUAAGCAAAUCCAUCAAAAGAAGUUCCAUCGUAAGAACAUAUCUGAUGUGAAUGUCUACAUGUCAAAUGAAAACUUAAUAAAUCAAGAAAUGAGAAGUAACAGCUUUACUUAUAGGAUAAAUCAAUAUUGCUUAGAUGAGGGAGCUAUCGAGUAUCGACCUCAUGAUGAGAAAUACACUAACAGCAGAAGCCUAUAGAGUUAGGAAACAGAAAGUACAUAAAUUGCCAUGAUGGAAAAGGAACUUAAUUCUUUGAGCACAACGAACAUGCUAACAAGCAAAGCGGCCAAAAACAGGAUAUACCAUUUUUUGGUCUUUCUUGAUUGCUUGCUGUGAUAGGAUGAUUGUAUGACUGCAGCUUCUUCACUACCUUCUUCCAGUCCAUUUUACUUGGCUCAUAUGUGCGCCGUUCAGGUAUUUUGAACAGCGACUCCAAGACUCGCUGUGGCAUCUUGGAAUCCACCACCGCUGAUCUUGGAGACGGUGUUUCCGAGUGUUGCACCUCGCAAACAGCCUUCAUGUAGCUACUGAAUCAAAGACCAAAUGUAUCAUAAACCAACAACCACCGGCAUGAAAGUGCAAGCACAUGGCAAGAUAACUGAUAUCAAUGAUGUCUGGGAGAUAACUAACUGUACAAUCAGCACCAUCAAAGUCUAUGUGAAUACUAAUACCAUUGAUGCCUAGGAGAUAACUAGCUGCACAGCCACAUACUGUCAAAGUCUAUGUGAUUAUUGGUUUAGCUGUACAGCCAGUACUGUCAAGGUCUGUGUGACUACUGGACAUGUACAGCCAGUACUACUGAAGUUGACGGAUGACUAGGGCAUUUAAACUGAGCCACUCAUUCUAUAACCCAAACUCACUUAUAGGUUAGCUAAGAAAAAUAUAAGCUAUCUUAAAGGAAUAUAUUGCUAGAACGUGACACAGGCUGCGUGUGCAUACAGUAAUCUUUUACUAAACUGCGUCUGUCAAGACGAUCAAGGAUGCUUUAUUUGUCAAGGCAGUCAAGGAUAUGAAAUUGUUAACAUGUGCAAAUGUGACACGGGCACAAGGGGCACUGAAUACUCUCCGUUCAACAAUCACCCACUAUGUUUGUCCAUACACAGCUACAAACAAAAAUAUGACAUGCAUACACAUCUUUGUGCAUCAAGUAUGCAACACAUAAACAUGAAGUAUCAAGUUCACCAAGCAACACAUUAGACAGGUGCUAUAAUGUUACUAUAAGAAUCUAAGGAAAGCAUAUAUGCUCAGAUAAAGAUUCACCUGCUCUGUUGUUCCCCCCAGAAGAAUUCAUGUUGCCUUUCGGAGUGAUUGUAUGACAUACCAGGUAUUUCUUCUGGGAACUGAGUAGAACAAAAAGUUAGGAUAUGAUAAUUUCACAAGGGAGCGGUUACAAAGUGCUACAUGCAUUCUGUUGUGCCAAGGAAAUAAUAGGAAACUGGAGAUGUGUUUAGUGGACUAGCACAGACAUGCCAACAAGAACUAAAUAGCAAUGGCGUUCAAUAUUGCUUGCUGUCUUAUGUUGCACUAGGUCGUCAAAAUGAACGACAAAGCUAACAGGUUAUACUUUACUUGCUGUUACGACUUUUUUGGCAACUUCUGCGACUAAAAAACAGGUCGUAAAACACAGUAACGAUAAACUGGCAAUAGUUGGUGCUUUGAAAGAUGCAAUCCAAACUAUCCCCUGCAGUGCGGAUAUAACAUGUUGGCCAGUAAGAAGGGGUCAUACUAACUACACUAAGUAUAAAUAAUAAAGAAUUUACGAAUCCUGGCUAUUUGUAGAACAAAAUAUUUAGUACUGAACUUGGUAGCUUUAACGUAUGCAGGAGUCAACUAAGAUUAACUGAAAUUUCUGCAAGAAUGUCAAUACAAGUGAUUUGCACUGAAAAAUAAGAGCAUAAAUUGUAGUAACUGUGCAAAGUUAACACCUGGCAUGGACUCUUUUGAAUACUUGCAGCAGAUUCUUCUUCAAAUAAUCCAUUUCCUGGGAAGAUAUUUGGAGAGGAUGAGCCAUUCAUUUCGUCAUUGGGAAUGCACCAUCCCAUACCGGAGAUAUCAAGCAAUGCGUCCAGAGCCUGAAAUCACCUGAUUAGUAAUAUCUCUCAACAAAUUGUCGCUGACUUAGCAGUAUGUCAUUCAAUGAAAAAUAGCACAAGUUUGAUCAGAUAUGAUCAUGCUACCACCAUAUAAGAUAUCUUACUUUAGUAACUUUUUAGGUUAAACACCAGAAAGCUAGUUGGUUACUUGGUUUUGAACAAUUGAAUUAAUUUCCUAGUCUUAGGGCGGCCUGGAUGCACAGUCACCAAGGCACAUGACAAGGUGACAAUUAGGCGAUACAAAAUAUAUCUGCGGUAUAAAUUGUAUAAUAACAAGUCCUAUGCAUAUUCUGUUCCAUCAAUCAUCUUCCACUCACCCCUCCUCGCUUGCCCUUGGAUUAGCCUUACAGUUUUGCCGUCCUCACCUAUUUAGUUGCAAAUUGUAAACGCUGAUGAUUUUGACCUCACAAACACCCGGAUGAUUUUUGGUGCCCUAAUAGAUCUGGUAACCAUGGCAGAACAGAAGAGGAGGUAGGCAACGCCAUUAAACAGAUGUUCUUUAUGCAUGGGGUCAAGGAACUAGAGGAAACUCCCAGAACCACAUGUUAACUGGCGAACAUACACAUGCGCUUUUUUUUGUCAAAAUUUAAAGGUAAAGCAAGACAAAAGACCGUUGAUACUGCCCACAACAGACAAGAUUAUAGGCCCAGCCAAUCAACAGUAUUUAGUGAAGUCCAUAAAAACUUAAACACUGGUCGAGGGCCUCGGGGCACUAAGAAAUGCACCGAAUAAGCUGUGUGUUUACCUGCUCAACAUCAUAUCCAGACUGACCUGCAAGAAAUAAAUAUAGCAUAAGGAACACUUUCAAAGAAGCAAAUCAUCAUGUCCAACUGGUUGGCCAAAUGAAAUACAAUUGUUACUAAAGACACUCAUAUUCGAGCAAGCACAAAAAUCUAAUUUUACAUUAAAUAGUUACUUAAAGAAUUAGAAUAAACAUGAUAACUUUUUUAUCCAGUUGUUGAAACAACAAAUUGCAUUUAAUAGUUAGAAGGGUUGCAUAACAUGUAAUUUCGCCAAUUGUAUCGUCAACCAUGCAGUAGUUCUGCGUACAAACAACAGGUGCUAGUGUGCAACUAAAACUGUGGAUUAGCUUCAACUGUACAACACUAGAAGAACUGUGCAAUCUGUAAACCAACCUCCCACCCACAUGUUAUUUGCACCAAAAUAAGAAAAGUGAAUCUAUCGCUUGAAUGUGAAAUUGUGCAAUUUGUAGUUGUGGAAGGUAGCUCAUAUCACAAAACAAACACUGUAGGCAGUAAUCUCCUUAACACUUCAUAUAUACGCAAAAGGAGAACAAGGGAGCAUCGUCAAAUGCCUUAACAGACAUCCACUUGACUGAUAACACAAAUCUUGCUUUCCUCCGGGCUUCUAUAACCUUGAACAUGAUAAACUCAAUAAUCAAUUAUCUGAAAUGACUUUUCAGAGACUUCAGCCCAAUAAAAUCAACACUGCCUUGCUAAUUACAAACACCAACUCUGGAAGCCCUAAAAAUCAAAAUCACGCAGCAUUUUGAAGGUGGCAAUUUGAUAUCCUAACAGUAACACUCUUUUAUUUCCUACCAGUUGCUUUAAGAGAAUGCGAUGCCAAUAAUAUUAAUAGAUCAGAUGCCAGCGUGGAAAUAGAACCGCAAAAUUACUUCGAUAGCUGCAGGAACAGAUAGGAAACUCAACUACCGUGCAAAUAGCACCCACAAUUACUUUGACAUCUGCGGCUACAGGAAGAAAAGUGGGACUAAAAACAUAUAUGAGGACAAUCAAACAAGAGGUCACUAUUUCUAACAGAUUGGCUUAUGGAUGCUUCAUGUGCUCUCUUCCACAUUUUGGCACAUCAAAUUUCUAAGAGAAGAAGUCAAACUGCCAAACAUGCCCCCCCUCACUAAACGGUGUACUAUGAAGUGAGGACGGUGCUUCAACCUUCAGGCCCUGGUAGGAUGGCAUGUACUAAUAUUUUGGGAAGGUUUUGUAUGUGGUUUAAAAAAUCAAAGCUUUCCAAAGAAAUGCCAUGGCACUCCCUAAAUACCAACACUUCCCAAAAAUAACCUUUUAUCCAAAACACACAUUUAUCCUAUAAUAUAGCAAAUUUGCAAUUCGGCUUGGUUAUGACUUCUGGCGGCAGAAACAGACGAUCCCAGGUAAAGCACUUGGAUACGAAAAGUAGAGCGGCUAGUGCUAAACGACUCACCCAGCACGUCUCUGACCACACCCAUGCUGAGCUCAGAACGAUCUCCAAGCAUGGAGCAGAGGAACUGCUCGGCCUCCUCAACAUUAAACGUGGGAUCGCCACCUCCACUUUCUCUGUCCCCAUUUCUCUCAUCAUUCCAGCCAUUGCUGACGCUUUCUCCAUCCAUGUCCUUCCCCUUCCCCUUCCACCCACUUCUCUCUGUGGCGCUCACAGGCGGAGUGGCAGGCCGCGAGUAGCCCUUGCCGAUCACGUCCGCAACGAUGCCGGACGCGGCCACGGGAAGCUUCCUGGGCCUGCGAGCCGGCUUCCUCCCAGCAGAUCCCGCGUGCGGCGAGAGAUCUGGCGGCGGCGGCGGCAGCGGCUGCGUGUCCUGCGUGGAGCCGAGGAUGCCGGCCGCAAGGAAGGGGUCGCCGCCGGCCUCGCGGUAGGCGGAGUCGACCUGGUCGAUGGUUGCGCUGCCGAAGGCCUCGAGCAGCCAGGCGAGGUCGCGGCGCUCGUCGCCCGUUGCCGAGGAGGACGCGGCGGAGUCGGACGACGAGGGGGCGUAGAAGGAGGAGGUGGACGCGGCCCCCGACGAGCUGGAGGUGAAGGCGCGCGUGUACCCCGAGGCGUCCCCGCCGCUCCCGCUGCCGCUCGACUCCGUCUCCGAGGCCGCAGCCGCGGCGGCUAGGGUUAGGGUUUCGGCGAGCGGAGAACGCGGGGAGGACCCCGCCGCCGGAGGGGCCGGCGCCGCCCCAUCGGCGGCCGCCGGCGAGGCCCGCUUCUUCUUCUUGGAUUUCUUCUUGGCGUUGGGCUUCAUUUCGGGCGCCGGCCGCCUUUUCCCCUCCCCUAUUUUCCCCCUCCUCCGGGGUGUUUUUUCGUGGGGGUUUUGACUUUUUCCUGAUCGUUUUCGUUUCAGCCUGGGAGAGAGAGGGCGAUGGGGGGAGGAGGAAGAAGGCGGGGGGAGCCGGCGAGUCGACUCACGCGGCGUGGCGGGCCUGCGGCGGAAUAUACUACGCUCAUUGGCAUGUGGGCCACGUCGCCCGCGGGCCCCACGUGUCAUGCUGUAAGCGCGGCGCCCGGUGAGGGUGGAUGGAAGAGGGUUGCGGCGACGGCCGAUACUUAUUUUGGACUGCUGGUUUACCCCGUUAGACUGGUGGAUGGGGUCGGCCGGGAGGUCGUGGUCGUGCCCCGCCACGCACACCUUCGAUUUGGUGAGCCGGAUAGGCACGCGGCAGUUGGCCGCGGCCCGCGGGUAUCAAGGGGGCCGGGCGGGGAUUUUUCUUUCAUUAUUUCUCUUCUUAUACCCUGUUUGAAACCACAUUAGAUUAUUAUAAUCUAGAUUAUGAACAUACUCCUUUCGUUCCUAAAUAUAAGUCUUUUAAGAGAUUUCAUUAGGCGUCUACAUACGAAGCAAAAUGAGUGAAUAUAUACACUAAAAUAUGUCUAUAUACAUCCGUAUGUAGUCCACUUAGAUUACAGUUUAUAGUACAAUCUCUAAAAAGUCUUAUAUUUUGGAACGGACGGAGUAGUUCAUAAAAAUAAUCAAGGUGAACAUGUUUGGAGGCCAAUUUAUAUAAACUGUAAUCCAGGUUUUACAUUGCAUAAUGACAUGUCUGUUCUUUGAUUUUUUUUAAAAGAGACGGAUGGCGGUGGUAGGAAUAUAAUUAUCUUCAACUUUACAAGGGUAAUGGGUCAUUAACAAUCCAUAAUCUGCUUUUAGCUGGUGUAGAGUAGAUUAUGAGUUUUUAAUAAUCUGUCCAUCUAGUUUUUAUAAUCUACACCAUAAACUCUCCUCUUUGGAGACAGAAUAGAUUAUAAAAACUGGAUUAUAUAAUCUCGAUGGUUCCAAACACGGCCUUAAUAAUAAAGCACGUAUCACUUCUGCCGUACUUCGUUGCCGAUUUUGUAGAAAAAUCCAUUAUUUAUUCUAAAUCAACUCGCAGUCCUUUUGUAAGUGGGAAAAAACAUUUCGUUUUUUGUAAAAAAAAAGCCCCUCUGUUUUACCGGACCGUACACCGCUCGAGCUCCCAUCGCUCCCCUCGCGUCCUAGAUCCGCCUCGCCGCCGACCGUGCAUCUCCACCAUGCCCCGCCGCCGGUGACCUUCCCCGCCGGAGCUCCGGCCGCUCCGCCACCUCGCCCCUCUCCCUUCUCCUCCUUCCUCUCGAUCUCCUCUCACAUCUCUUUCUCUUUCUCGCUGACAUGGACCUCCACAAGGACCAUGGUGCCGCCGUUCCUCGAUCUCGCCAGAUUCGGCCGCCUCGCUCGGCACCGGCGGCAGGCCACCCCGCUGCUCCAUCGAUGGCAAUGGCGGCUCCUUCUGGCUGGAUUGACCGCCGCAUUUGCCGCAUCCGCCGCGUCCCCGUCCCCGCCCCCGUCCUCCCCGACCUGCCCACCCUCCAUCUCGCUGCACGCGGACAAGUGAUACGUUUCCAACGUAUCUAUAUUUUUUUAUGGUUUCAUGCUAUUAUCUUGUCAAACUUUGGAUGUUUUGUAUGUCUUUUAUAUCUUUUUUGGGACUAACCUAUUAACUCAGUGCCAAGUGCCAGUUUCUGUUUUUUCCGUGUUUUUUGACCCUUUUUCAGACGGAGUCCAAAUGGAAUAAAACUUUACGAUGAUUUUUUUUUGACCAAAAGAGACCCCCGAAGGUUUGGAAGAAGGCCAGAAGAGCCACGAGGGAGUCGCAAGCCCGUGAGGCGCGACCCCCCUAGGCCGCACCUACCACGCUUGUGACCUCCUCGUGGGCCCAACCGACGUAAUUCCACCGCCAUAAAUUCCUAUAAAUUCAGAAACCCCCAGAAAGAAACCUAGAUCGGGAGUUUGCCGCCGCAAGCCUCUGUAGCCACCAAAAACCAAUCUGGAGCCUGUUCUGGUGCCCUGCCGGAGGGGGAUUCGGAUACGGAGGGCUUCUUCAUCAACACCAUGACCUCUCCGAUGAUGCGUGAGUAGUNCUCGAUUCCCCAACCCCCCUCGUGGGGGGCCCCACCCCCACCGACACCUCUCUCUCUCUCGUCUCCCACCCACGCGGAGACUCUCCCCACGAUCUCCCUCACAGCCCCACGAGAACCCCCAGAUCUCGCCCCUCCCCACCUCUCGUUCUCUCCCCACCGAGGCCCUCCUCUCCACCUCGCCCCCACCCCGGCCGGAAGCUCACCCCACCGCCGGCCGGGAGCUCACCCCACCGCCGGCCUCUCCCUCCAUCGACCCUCCCCCGUCGGCCUCCCAGUCCCUCCCCACGCAUCUGUUCGAAAUAUGCCCUAGAGGCNNNNNNNNNNNNNNNNNNNNNNNNNNNNNNNNNNNNNNNNNNNNNNNNNNNNNNNNNNNNNNNNNNNNNNNNNNNNNNNNNNNNNNNNNNNNNNNNNNNNNNNNNNNNNNNNNNNNNNNNNNNNNNNNNNNNNNNNNNNNNNNNNNNNNNNNNNNNNNNNNNNNNNNNNNNNNNNNNNNNNNNNNNNNNNNNNNNNNNNNNNNNNNNNNNNNNNNNNNNNNNNNNNNNNNNNNNNNNNNNNNNNNNNNNNNNNNNNNNNNNNNNNNNNNNNNNNNNNNNNNNNCACCUCGCCCCCACCCCGACCGGCGAGCUCACCCCACCGCCGGCCUCUCCCUCCAUCGACCCUCCCCCGUCGGCCUCCCAGUCCCUCCCCACGCAUCACCCUCCACCGCCGGUUCCCUCACCGGUCGGCGAGCCUCCCCAUCUCGGGCCCUUCAACCGUCGCCCGAGCCCCUCCCCUACAUAUCCACCCCCCUCUCGGCCCCAACCCCCCCUCCCUGUCGGCCUUCCUCCCGCUCGGUCCAGGAGGAACCGGGCAGGGAGACACCUCCACCUCGCCGGAUCUGGCCGGCCUCACCUCGGCCGCUCCCCCUCCUUCAAUGUCGCCCCCCCCUCCGGGAGGGCCUCUUCCUCGUCGACACGUCCUCACCGGCACCACCGUCAUCACCGCGCCAUCACCACCGUCACCUCCGCCUUCCCGCGAACUCCGGCUUCACCGGGCCGUCUCAUCAACGUUCGUGAGCCCCUCCUCGGGCUCCUCCAACCAUCGUGUUCCCCUCACCGUCCCGGUUCCGUUCCGGCAAACGGGACUCCGAUCCGUCGACGGUAGUGACCGGUAGGAAGAUUAGAAGGAUGUGUUCUUCUAUGUUGAGUUAGAGCACAUAGUUCUUUGUCUCUGUGUUAACAGAGAGAGAGAUGGGAGUGUUGAGAGUUAAAAGAAAAUAAAAUAAAAGAUGUAUUAGAUGCCGUAUGUAUGUAUGUAUGAGAUGCGAUGUAUGUAUUGCGUAUAUAGGUAUUUGGAAGAAUACGAUAAUUGCAUGGUUAUGUAUGUGUGAAAAAAAGAUGAGUAUAUGGCCUAAGGUCACUUACCGGUGGGGCCAACGCACCCACUGUCUAUGACAGGGAGGCCCUACGCGAUAGUUAAAAAAAUAAAAAUAAUGUUAAUGUUUUUAUUAAAUAAAUAAAUAGAUAUUAGUUAAAUUAAUUAAUUGGAUAAUUAGAAUAAUUAGAGUAUGAAACGUGGGUCCCCCACUAAAUUAAUCUGAUUAAUUAAUAUUUAAUCUUAAUUAAAACUCGUGCCUAUGACGUUCGGACCCGCUGGUGAGUUGACCAGUCAACUGUUGAUGUCAGCAUGACAUCAUGCUGAUGUCAUAAUAGCUUUUUAUUAAAUUAUUUAAAUCUGUUUUUAAUUCCUAAUUAUUGAAUAAAACUUUAAAAUUUAAUAUUAAAUAAUCCAUAAGUCAGAUCAAAAUAUUUUCAACAUGAAAGUUGAUCAGCAGAACGAGACGAAUCCGGAUACACGGCCCGUUCGUGUGUCACGCGUCCCUAGCAUAGCAAACAUGGAACAUUUCCAUCGUUUCCAGUAUAACCGGUAGUAGUCCGAGACCCGAAAAAUAUCGUCAGAUAUUCUUCUGACCCGUCUAUGACGGAUGUUGCUGCGUUAGCUCAUGUCUAGCCUGCAUCUUUCCAUGUCAUGCUUUGUGUUGCACCGUUGCUAUUAUUUAUUGUUCCUUCCCCCUCUUCUUACCGGUAGACCCCGAGACUCACGCUGCUGCCGGGUACAUCUACGACCCUGCCGAUCAGUCCUUUGCGGCAGAGCAGCAAGGCAAGCAAACCCCCCUUGAUCAUUCCUAUAUCGCCUAUGUCUUUCUUCCUACUGCUUGCAUUAGUAUUUUGCUACUGUUGUAGUUAGCUCCUAUAUAUGAUGCAUAGCCUAUUUUUGAUGAACUCCUACUUUCAGUCAUGUACCUUUAAUCUGCUUAGUAUAGGUGGAGCAGUCAUCCCCUCUGACCCCGUAGUCCAGUUGCCCCGCUUGUUUUCAAAUCUCGAUCUCUGAUCGACGAACCAGACCCGACACAACACAUACACCCCCCUUAGUUGUACGACCCUACAGAGAUACUAUCGGGUACCGAGGGUGACACCUCGCUAAGUACUCCUAAUGAUAUCUCUGUAGUAUAGCUAGUCGGUCGUGGUUAACGAGGGUGAUUCCUCUUUCAUCAUUCCCGAUGACGCCUCUGUCGUGCAACCCCUCAAGUGUGGGACCCUCGAGGGUGAUUCCUCUAAGCCCACCUUGACGGGUACAUCGUUCGGAAUCCAACGAGGGUGAUACCUCGGAUUCCCCCCCGAUGUUAUAACCACACAGUUACUCGACCAUGUUACUGGGAUCCUUGGUGAUUAUUUAUAAGACGGGUGGAUUCCCGUGAGACCGUGUUGUUGGCCUAAUUAAAAUGUUAAUGGAUUUGGGUAUUUGAUCUGGGAUGGUCGGAGACCUUUUCGCACUAAUCGGCUACGCGGGAAGAAUUAUGGGUACUCGGCGUCGCGGUAUCAACCGAAGCUCUUCAGAUGCCAGCAAUGUAGCGGCGCGCGCCCGAGUGGUCCCGAGAUGCAUCGCUCUUGUGAUUAAGGGAUGCUAGGAGUGACGUCGGCCGCCCACGCCACGUGCAAGAGCGCGAAGGGGAACUGGGCCCAUGAACCCUUUGUGCUUAGGAGUUAGACCGGCGGGGCUGGCCUCUCUGAUUAGUCUUAGGUGGGGCUGCGACGUGUCGAUAUUCCGAGGCCGGGCAGGACCCAGAAAAGUAUGUCCGGCCAGAGUGUUAUCGAGCGUGACGGGACAUGUGGUACACCCCUGGAGGGAUGAAAAUUAACUAUUCGGAUAGCCGUGUCCAUGGUUACAGGACGACUUGGAGUUGUGCCCCGAUCUUAUAGAACUACAAUUGUUACAUAACUGGAGUUAGUUUGCCUCAGGAUUGCUUCCUCGCAGGGAGUCGAGGGAGGAUCUUUAGGCGUGACCUCACUUUAAUAUUGCUGCAACAAUAUGACUAUUAAUGUGUUACCCCUGUUCUACUCUCGUCUAUUGCUGCAAGACCCUGAAGAUGCUAGUCUUCGAUAGGACUAGGCCUUCUCUCUCUAUUCUCGCAUUGCUGCAGUCAGUCCACAUAUAACCCCCCCCUUCUUUGAUAUUGAUGCAUAAUUAGAAUAGUUCUGAUGUAAGACUUGCGAGUACUUUGGAUGAGUACUCACCACUGCUUUGCUCCCCCUCUUGUCCCCUCGAUCCGUUGCUGCGACUAGAUGUUGGAGCCCAGGAGAUGGAGGUCCCCGCCGCCGACGACUGCUACUCCGACAGUGCCUACUACUACGUGGAGGCUGUUGAUGAUCAGGAGUAGUUAGGAGGUUCCCAGGCAGGAGGCCUCGCCUCGUUCGAUCGUUGUAUCUUUUGUGCUAGCCUUCUCUAAGGCACCCCAUGUUUUAUGUCUGUACUCAGAUAUUUGUUGCUUCCGCUGACUCGUGUGUUUAUCGAGCUUCCGUAUUCUAG